GACGAACGCUGGCGGCGUGCUUAACACAUGCAAGUCGAACGGAAAGGCCCUGCUUUUGUGGGGUGCUCGAGUGGCGAACGGGUGAGUAACACGUGAGUAACCUGCCCUUGACUUUGGGAUAACUUCAGGAAACUGGGGCUAAUACCGGAUAGGAGCUCCUGCUGCAUGGUGGGGGUUGGAAAGUUUCGGCGGUUGGGGAUGGACUCGCGGCUUAUCAGCUUGUUGGUGGGGUAGUGGCUUACCAAGGCUUUGACGGGUAGCCGGCCUGGGAGGGUGACCGGCCUCCUGGGGACUGCGAUACGGCCCAGACUCCUACGGGAGGCAGCAGUGGGGAAUAUUGCACAAUGGGCGGAAGCCUGAUGCAGCAACGCCGCGUGCGGGAUGAAGGCCUUCGGGUUGUAAACCGCUUUCGCCUGUGACGAAGCGUGAGUGACGGUAAUGGGUAAAGAAGCACCGGCUAACUACGUG
rnacentral:rRNA from 1 species